UACGAAGGGGGCUAGCGUUGCUCGGAAUCACUGGGCGUAAAGGGUGCGUAGGCGGGUCUUUAAGUCAGAGGUGAAAUCCUGGAGCUCAACUCCAGAACUGCCUUUGAUACUGAGGGUCUUGAGUAUGACAGAGGUGAGUGGAACUGCGAGUGUAGAGGUGAAAUUCGUAGAUAUUCGCAAGAACACCAGUGGCGAAGGCGGCUCUCUGGACCGUAACUGACGCUGAGGCGCGACAGCGUGGGGAGCAAACAGG
rnacentral:rRNA from 1 species